ACUUCCCAACCGAGCGUCAUUGUAGCAGAACUGGAAGUAGCGCCCAGACAAAGUGGAAGACUCCUUGUGCAUCUAAACGAGAGACCUGCAGCUGGCAGAUCCCUCUGGAACUCAGCAGGAAGAUGGCUGUCCUGUGCUGGGUGGUUCUGGGUCUGGCCGUCUUCCUGUCUCCUCAACGCAGUUUAGCCGCUGUAAACCAGGACUGGCUAACCAAUAUCAUACAAAAC